rnacentral:rRNA from 1 species
UGGGGAAUUUUGGACAAUGGGCGAAAGCCUGAUCCAGCAAUGCCGCGUGUGUGAAGAAGGCCUUCGGGUUGUAAAGCACUUUUGUCCGGAAAGAAAUCCUUGGCUCUAAUACAGUCGGGGGAUGACGGUACCGGAAGAAUAAGCACCGGCUAACUACGUGCCAGCAGCCGCGGUAAUACGUAGGGUGCAAGCGUUAAUCGGAAUUACUGGGCGUAAAGCGUGCGCAGGCGGUUUGCUAAGACCGAUGUGAAAUCCCCGGGCUCAACCUGGGAACUGCAUUGGUGACUGGCAGGCUAGAGUAUGGCAGAGGGGUAGAAUUCCACGUGUAGCAGUGAAAUGCGUAGAGAUGUGGAGGAAUACCGAUGGCGAAGGCAGCCCCCUGGGCCAAUACUGACGCUCAUGCACGAAAGCGUGGGGAGCAAACAGGAUUAGAUACCCUGGUAGUCCACGCCCUAAACGAUGUCAACUAGUUGUUGGGGAUUCAUUUCCUUAGUAACGUAGCUAACGCGUGAAGUUGACCGCCUGGGGAGUACGGUCGCAAGAUUAAAA